UACGAAGGGGGCUAGCGUUGAUCGGAAUCAUUGGGCGUAAAGCGCACGUAGGCGGCUUGUUAAGUCAGGGGUGAAAUCCUGGGGCUCAACUCCAGAACUGCCUUUGAUACUGGCGAGCUUGAGUCCGGGAGAGGUGAGUGGAACUGCGAGUGUAGAGGUGAAAUUCGUAGAUAUUCGCAAGAACACCAGUGGCGAAGGCGGCUCACUGGCCCGGUACUGACGCUGAGGUGCGAAAGCGUGGGGAGCAAACAGG
rnacentral:rRNA from 1 species